AGCGGGCCUGAGGGUGGGAGGGGUCGCAGGGAUCGUCUGGGCUGCUAAGACCCGCUCCUUGGAUGUCCAAUAAGAGGGAACUGGGCCGGACCGUUACACGCUUAUAACUCGCCAGGGAGCUGGGAACCAAUAAUCUUGCCUCCAUUUGGCAGAUGCAGAAACUGAGGCUCAGAGAGGCCAUGAGACUAGCGCUUUGUCUACCGAAGGAUUUGGGCACCGGGAAAGGGGCAUUCUCAGUUCCCUCGUGCAACCGCCGCGUGACGAGUUUGGACCUCCGGGGAACCAGCCCCCAUCCCCCCAACAACCUCCCCUUUCCCCUGGAGACCGGCGGGCUCUGGCUGGUCCGUUGCCGUGGCAACAACCGCACGCGCAUUCCUGGAGCGAGGUUUGGGUCUCCUAGGUCCCCUGCCGCAAUGGCCAGCCGGGCCGCGGGCUCCGAGGUCUCCCGGUUCCCUCUGGCCCUAAAUCUCUCCCAUUGGAGAUUCUGCCUGGUGCCCCCAUCUCAGCGCCCUCCUUCGUCGGCUUUCCUCCCCAACCCGGGUUCAAAGGACCUCGCCGCCAGGGCCGAGUUCGUCUGUAUCUUGGAUGUCCUGUUUGAAGAAAAAGGACAAAUAAAACAUGGCCAGCAAAAGAAAGAGAUGCUUUUCAACAUCUAGAGUGAGACCCAGGCAGGAAAGCCCGAAGUGCUUGGUCCAGACAGACGUGGUUCCAGUCCUGCUACUUCAAAGCUUUCCGGUUGGAAAACUGAGGUGCAGCAGGAAGUAAUACCUGGUCCAAGUACGUAAGCACAGGUGACAGUGGCCAUAGGAUGCCAAGCUGGGUUUCUGCCCAGGAUGUCAGCUGGGUCACCUGGCUUGCUUCUCCUGUCUCCAGCUGUGUUUCCUUUGGAUCUCCGCCUAGCUUGGAGAAGCUGCAUCGCUCUUGGCUCCUCUCCCCUCUGACCGUCCCCAACCUCCGUGCCCAGCCAAGCUGCUCCUCAGGAAACGGCACCACCCCUGCUGCUCACCCUGCCGGGCCAAGAGCACGCAGCUCAUGUGUCUGUGUGGGUCAUCCUGGGUGUGCCCAGGACAUGUGACAGGGGCUGCAGUCGGAAUGAGGGAGAGGCCUGAGGGGGACACAUAGCAGCCCAGGAAGAACAUGAUUACAUCUGUUCCCACAAUGUAAACAGCUAGACAGAACAAGCCCCUUGGGGACUGGACAGUUACCAAAUAGAGUAAAGGGGAAAUAUAAGACUUGGUGGCUGGGGCUCAGCGGUAGAGUGCUCUCCUAGCACGCGCGAGGCCCUGGGUUCAGUCCUCAGCACCACACAAAAAUAAAUAAAAUAAUGAUAUUGUGUCCAACUACAACUAAAAAAUAAAUAUUAAAAAAAAAAAAAAGACUGGGGCUUUCUAAGUUCAGCCGGGGCAGAACUGUUGGCUGAGUUUCUGUGGCUUCUAAGGCUAGGAAGAGACCUGUCCCUGUGUUCUCCUUUCUCAUUUCCUCCUUGAAGACAAGUUCCUUUAUCCAGGGACAGAGCUGGCCACCUGGUCCCUGAAGGACUUUCCAGGUUUGAAACUCAAGGACUGUGAGGUUUCUGACAAGGUGCUGCUUCCCGGGCCCUGGGUCAUCUGCACUGGUACCUGCCCUCUCGGUCUUGGCUUGAAUGUCGACCUGGAGCAGCUCAUUUUCCCUGUGAUUUCCUUUUUUCUUGGUUCCACACAUCUUUCUAGGCCUGUGUCAGCUGCUGGUUGACGCUGAUUUACUCAUGGGGGCCAGUCUCUCUCUCUGUUCCUCUCUCUCUCUCUGUUCCUCUAAGGUAACUGUCGGUUUCCUUACACUCUGCAUGGGUUUUCCAGCCUCAGAUUGUUUGGAGAAAGGGAUGGGGCAUCUGUAACGGUGCCACCUAGAUGGCUGGAUUUCAUAAACCAGUUGACAUUUCAAAGUGACUGAAGGGAGGAGGUGAUAGUGGUAGGUUCUUUUUCGGGGAGAGGGUGCACUGGAGAUUGAACCCAGGGUGCUUUACUACUGAGCUACAUCCCCAGCCCAUUUUAUUUUGAGACAAGGCCUCACUAAGCUGCUGAGGCUGGCCUUGAACUUGCGAUCCUCCUGUCUCAGCCUCCUGAAUUACAGGAAUCAUAGGCGUUGAGCCACCACUCCUGGUGGGACUAUUUCUUUUGAUAAUAAUGUUAGGUCCAUCUUUAGCUUAAACUUGUCUUCUUUUUGGAGGGCCUUCCUAAAAGUUGCAAGCAGCAGCCAACAUCUUCCAGCACCGUUUCCAAGAUGCCCUAAUACUACAGUCUCUGGAGUCCCAACACAGCAUGUGCAUUGGUCUAACGAGGACUGCCCACUCAUAGCCGGCACUCAGGACACCGCAGCCCUUUGACCUUUCUCCUCUUUCCCAUGUUUGAGCAAGCCCUCCCCCACCAGUGUAACAUGCUGUUCCUCUCUCUCUCUCCAUCCCAGAGCAGAGCCCUGCCCCUCACACAGUGUUCAAGUCAAACAUUCUUGCCCCUUUUAUCCUAUGCUUCAUGUCGGCAAAUCCUGGUGUCUCUAACUCCAAAAGAUGUUCUGCAUUCCUAUACCUGUCCCCACGAGCACCCACAGAAGUCCAGAUCACUGUCCUGUUCUCCUGGGCAACUGGCCUCAUCCCCCUCCUCAUAGUUCCUACUGAAGGGCUAGUUUCUCUGUACCAACCAAAGUGAUCUUUUGAAAAAUGCAAGCCAUGACAUUUUUCUACCCUUUUCAAACUCUCCAUUGGUUCCCCCUGGUGCACAAAAUUCAACCUGGAUCUCUGGUCGUGACCCCCAAGACAUUCUAGGUGACCUAGCUCCUGUCCCCUUCCUCUGUGGCUCCACCUUAUCCCGCCAUUCAGAACACACCAGUUUGAGCAGCGUGGGCUUCCCACUAGCUCUUCCGCCAGUGCAUCUUCAAACACAUGCCCGACGUAGAUGGCUUCCCCGGUUCACUCCGACCUCCGCUCCAAUGUCACCCCAAUGAGAGGCCCCAUCCCCUCACUGCCUGUCCUUCUGUCUGCCUAGAUAUUUAUUGAUUGUGCUGCCCCACGGGGGUGGGAGGGAGCCUGGCAUUCUUACUCCUGGCUGAAUGUCCAGUGCCUGGCCGAGUCUGGCCCAUGGAAGGGCUCCAUAAACAUUUGUGGAAUUCAAGAAUGGAUGCUUAUUAUCCUCCACAGACUCUUCAAAAAGAGGAAAUUUAUGGCAGCCUGUGUGGCCCUGGCCUACUUCCCAGCUGAGCUGCUAAGCUCUCUCUGCUUCCGGUGGCACCAUCCAUCUCUCUGCGAUUCUUCAGGGUUGUCUGAGUGGUCUGCAGCCAGGAAUGCCACUCUUCCCUAAUCUCCUCAGGGGCCUGACCUACCCCCAAGGUCAUGGGAAGUGCCGUGUUGCAAUCUUAGGUGGCUAGGCAGAA